UGUUGUCAGAAAAUAAUCUCAAAUAAUGCAAAGAAAAUAAGUUCAUAUACAUUUAUAAACCGAAUACUAAUCUUUUAAUUUAGGAAGAGUUCAGAAAUGUUCAAUCACAGCUUUCAUGCGUCUUAGCACGCUCUCCACCAGUCUUUCACAUUGAUGUUGGGUGACUUUAUGCCACUCCUGGCACAAAAAUUCAAGCAGAUCUGCUUUGUUUCAUGGCUUGUGACCAUCCAUCUUCCUCUUGAUCACAUUCCAGAGGUUUUCAAUCGGGUUCAGGUCUGGAGAUUGGGCUGGCUGAAACAUCCACAGAUCUUCACCGAUCCUCCACCAAAUUUCACAGUGGGUGCGAGACAUGGAGAGGUCGACAAGCCACAGUGUCUCGCACCCACCAGCAAGGCUGGAAUCGGGCCGAUUUGUCUUUCUGAAAGACGCAUGAAUCAAGCCACGUACAAGGUUAUACUGGAAGAAAACUUGCUUCCAUCUGCUCUGACAAAGUUCACCAAUUCUGAGGAUAGUUUUUCCAGCAGGACAAUGUUCCAUGCCACACAGCCAGGUCAAUCAAGGUGUGGCUGGAGAACCACCAGACCAGUGGUCUCUUAGCUCUGGGAAAACAAAUGUAUGUAGGCAUGAUCACGCAGCAUUCAGCCAAAGAGUUGUUCAACUUUGAUGGAGAUUGCAUGGUGGGUUUGCAGUUGUGCUGAAGUUUACACAGGGUUGUAUGUAUUCACAGAACACACAGCCAAGGCAACUAAGGAGUGGCUCCGUAAGAAGCAUCUCAAGGUCCUGGAGUGGCCUAGCCAGUCUCCAGACCUGAACCCAAUAGAAAAUAUUUGGAGGGAGCUGAAAGUCCGUAUUGCCCAGCGACAGCCCCGAAACCUGAAGGAUCUGGAGAAGAUUCUGUCUCUCACAGUUGAAGUGGACCUAUGAUGAUAAAUUACAGACCUCGACAUGCUUUGUAAGUAGGAAACACUGCCGAUUGUGCAGGUUAUCAAAUUCUUGUUCUCCCCACUGUAUGUACCGUACUCUGUACCAACUUCGGCCUACAAUUGUAUUACUAAAGUAAUAUUUUAAUACUUCAAGUCUGUUUCCUUUCCAUUUCUAAUGUAUGUUUGAUAGUUAUAUAGACCUGAUCAUUUUAAGAAAUUGACCAUAUCCAUCGACCAACUCAGCCACUGAAGAACUCUGCCUCCCAGGAACCCGAAACCUUCUCUUUCCUUGAUUCUGUCAUCCUGUCCGAGUCUUCCAGAGCCCUUGCAGUUGGGCCAUGCUCCUCUCACAUGUAUCGACCAUCAAAGACGGAUCCAAGAAGGGCUCUGCCUAUACUGUGGAGGGAAAGAUCAUCUACUCAGCCAUUGCCCUGUUCGCCCCCAACGGAGAGAUGAGAAGGGUUCCUACGCUGCCAUGCAGGAUUAACACCCUGGACUGGCAGCCAUUGGGCACGGGCUUCAUCACGCACCUGACACAGAGCGUCACCAUCCGGAUUGGAGUCUUCCACACCGGACCCAUUCAACUCAUGGAACUCUCAUCUCCCUAACAGCCACUCAUCCUUGGACACCCCUGGCUUUGUCGUCACAACCCUGCCAUCUCGUGGCGACAAGGUUGUGAUGCAUUCUUUAAGAUCAAGUACCGUCUGCGGGAGCAUCUGCACAGCCACACUCAGGAGCGCCUGGUGGCCUGCCCCACCUGCGGCUGCCUGUUCUCCAGCAACACCAAGUUCUUAGACCACAUCCAAAGACAGGCCGAGCCAGAGGGAUCCCUGGUGUGUGAGCAUUGUGACAAAGGCUUUGCCAAUGAGAGACUGUUGAGAGACCACGUACGACAGCAUGUGAACCAUAUCAAGUGUCCUGUGUGACAUGACCUGCACCUCUCUCGCCACUCUGAAGAUCCACAUCAAGUUCCGCCACUGUGACGAGCGACCCUUUCCCUGUGACUUCUGUGAGAGCAGCUUUAAGAACCAGCAAGACCCGUGGAAGCACAUGGAGAACCAUAAUGAGGGGGCGGCCUACCACUGCUCUGUAGAGGGCUGUGACUACUACUACCACAUGGCACACACCAUGAACCAGCACUACAAGAGAGUACACUAGGUACUCAGAAUGGCUGCAAGAGGCGCCAAACAGUCACUCCGUGCUCAAUAGAACUACAGAAUCAAUAUCCGUGUCAAAGCUAAACUUUUUAAUUUGCAAAAAUGUUUUUGGAAUUUUGAUCAAGUGUGCUCUACUUGACACUUGCAUAAUUCUCCUCUGUAGGGUGGAAUGGUCACAAAAUACAAUGAGCGCUUAGCUUUAAAAAAAAAAUAUAUAUAUCAGAUCCAGCAUCUUCUCCGUACCAGUGUUGGAGACCACUAAUGUGGCAGUACUGAAUCUCUCUGUUACAGCUGUGCUGAAUGUAUGAUGGCUGGGCUUAACCUGGGAUGGGCUGUUUAUUAAAGUUUACUAAAAGUUAGUAUCUCCGGUUGAGAUGUGACAAGAUUGUAUUAUUUUCAUAAAGUGUGUUUUUGUUUGUUAGUGUUUUACAGUAUGCGCUUUAAUACAGUCUGCGCUUUUAGUUCAGCCUCAGAAUGUGACCCCAUUGACAGCAGUUUUGAAAUAACUUUUGUGGUGUCAGGUCAUAUUUCUGAUGUUUUUGAAACUCUUUUCCAUUAAGUCAUAGAUCUUAGAUUUUCCUUUAUUCUGAUUUAAUUAAUGCUAUAGCUUUUUAUUUGACCUAGUUCUUGUUUUAGUUUUUUACAUUUGUUAAGUUUUGUCAGUUAUUUGUAUUUUUUGUCUGUCCAUUUUAUGAA